UUGAGGACUUGGCGUUGGCUUCCAUACAAACAGAUGUUAUUUGUCAUUCCGUAGUUAAGCAGUUCCCACAUUGGAGCAAGGAGCAGUUUAAGGAAAACUGCAGCGGAGUUUAGAAAGCUGUGUGGUUUUUAAGUGGUUGUGGAAGGAACAAUAAAAUGAAAGGCAAAACCGGCAUUUUGAAAACUUGGCAAGAGAAAGAAGCUUGGACUGGCAGCCAAGAAUCCUGCUGUGGCACAGAGAGAACAGCGUUUGCAAAAGCACCUCAAUUGUGGGUUUCUUCCAUCCCCCCUUUUUUUAUAUCAAUCUCGGCAGCUGGAGCAAUUAUUCUUCCAUCAAUGUUAAGAGUCAAAAAGUUACAGCGGAGAUUUGAUGAGCCAAUAUGGAGACAGAUUACAUUUGUCAAAGGUCUGGGCCUAACAAGAUGGCGGCUUGCAUCCUGUGACAAUUUUCCUGAUAUGUCAAUGCAUUGGGGAUCAAGUCACAAGCCAU